UACGUAGGGGGCAAGCGUUGUCCGGAUUUAUUGGGCGUAAAGCGCGCGUAGGCGGCCCGGUAAGUCCGCUGUGAAAGUCAAAGGCUCAACCUUUGAAUGUCAGCGGAUACUGCCGGGCUAGAGUCCGGAAGAGGCGAGUGGAACUCCUGGUGUAGCGGUGGAAUGCGCAGAUAUCAGGAAGAACACCAACGGCGAAGGCAGCUCGCUGGGACGGAACUGACGCUGAGGCGCGAAAGCGUGGGGAGCGAACAGG
rnacentral:rRNA from 1 species